CUGCCAGUCACUGGGAAAUGUUUCACAAGCUAUUCUUCAGAUGCAGACAUGAGCAGGCAUUCAAAUCUAAGCAGAUAGUGAGAAGCAUCCACAUGCCCUGUUGCAAUUACCAACAGUGUUCUAGGAAGAAAGAAAAAGCAAGGUGAGGCCCAUGAGUAAAAAAUUCCCACAUGAGAAAGAAAUAUCCUGAAGACACAGAGAACAUAUCUCUGAAUAAGAUUUAAUAAGGAACUACGAGAUAAUUAAGCAAAAUUUUAUUGGGUAUGGACUUGAAUAAAGAUGCACAAGGAACCAAAUAUAAAACAAUGGUAUAAAGAGAAAAACAAUGUAAGAUACAAGGACAACAGGCUGAGAUAAAAACGGAGCUGGGUGACAUAAUUUUAUAAUAGUAAAAUUAAAAGCUACAUUGAAGAGGAAGAUAGCACAUCUCUGAGUCCUUCAUUCACCUAACUGUGGUAGACUGACAGCGAAAAAUGGCCCCAAGUCUCCAUACUUCCCUGUGUCCACACCCUUUGCAAUAUGUUGCUUUAUAGCAGCUCUCAUCAAGAGGUGGAAUCUAUAUCCUUACUCCUUGAGUCCGCUGGCCUUGUGACUUCCUUUGGCCAACAGAACACAACACAAGCAACAGUGUCCUAGUUCCAAGGCUAGCCUCAAGAGGCUGUGUUUGCUUCUGCUCUCUCUCAGACCUCUGCUACCACCGUGAGAAAAAAAUGUAGUCAAGGCUUCUGGAGGAAAAGGCACCAUGUGGAGAACUCAGGUCCCCCAGCCAACAACCAGCCAACUCCCAGACAUGGAACCACCUAACCAACACAGGGUUGACCACAGACCCAUGAGGGAGACCAGCAGAGAACAGAAUUGCUCAGCUGAACUCAGCCUAAAUUGCCAACCUGAAGAAUUAUGAGUUAAAUAAAUGGUUAAUGUUUUAAGCCACUAAGUUUUGGAGUGGUUUGUUCUGCAUCAAAAGCUAAGGGAUACAUCCAUUGAGGUAACAAUUAAUGUUGGAAGGAAAAAUCCUAUUCCUUUAUUAUGAUAAGCAAAUAAAGUUCCCAUCUACAUACUUGUAGCUCCAGGUUUCUGCAACAAUGGUAUAAAAAGAACACCAUGAAGGACAGCUAAUCAACCUCUUGUCCACCAUGAACUUUGUUGAGGUAGGGGAGGUCUGUCAAGAUCUCCUAGAAUGAGAAAUCCAGCCUCAUUAACUCAUCCUAGCUAAAUUUCAGAGUAAGGACUUCACAAAUACCUGUCGUACCUGAACGAUAUUUACAGCCAGACUCUAACAAAGCUGUCCAAGAAAAACACCUGCUAUACUGUCUUCUAGAGGUAAAUUCCAUGAUGUUCUCUGCCGCCCCCACUCACUUUAAGGGAGCUACAGUGAGGCUCGCUUCCAGCUCUCUCUCAGUCUUCCUGGAAAAAGACUCACUCCACUUGCCACCACGCCAGUAACCGCUCUCGAGGAAACGAAAUGGGGGAAUCUAGAGACCAACUCACCUACCUUCCCUUCAGCCUUUCUCCUCCCAACUGCAAUCUAGAUCUGAAGUCUAGUUCCUUUCUUUUUGAAGUGAGCAAUUAGUGUUAAUCAGAUGUUGCCCACUUACUGGAGAAAUGAACAUCUCCCAGGAUCUUGAUGCACCUUACCCACAGCAAAUUUGCAAAGCAAUUAAUGUAAUCUAAGAUAAUUAAAGAUGAUUUGCUUUUGACUAUGAUUUUAUCUCUCAUAGAAAGCUGACCAUAGUUUUUCCGUAGCCAUGAUUUUAGUUUUUCUGUGACAAGAACACCCACUAUUAACAUCAUUAGUUAAUAAGGCUCUGGAAUUUCUGGCCAAUUCAGACAUAAAUUUAAGAAGGAGAAGUAAAUUUUCACUAUUUGCACAUAUUAUGAUUAGAUAUCAACAAAUUCUACAAAAUCAACUCUUAUACUUAUUGAGAAUAAAGAGCUCAGGUCUGAGAUAAGUAUAUAAAAAAACACCCUUCCAGUAUGCCAGUAAAAAUGAGUCAGAAAACAGAAUAGAAAAAAAUUUCACUCACAAUAGCAAUAAAAAACAAAAAAUAACUAAGAGUACCCACAGCAUGGGACAGAAGGUAAACAAUCUACACUACUCUACAGAGAGGGGUAAACAGUCCUGAAUAUCAAACGGAUAGGAUAAAGCUAAUGUACAAUGUUGUUCUGAUGCAAAAUAGAAAGAUGAAAGAAAACCAGAAUAGAAAGUAGGCAAUCAGGCCAGUAUCCAAGAAUUUAGUAGACCACAGAAGAACUAUCACAAAUCAACAGGCAAGGGAAUAUUCUUACUGGUGUUCUAACAAUGGAUUAACAUUUGGAAAAAAAAAAUCAGUUUUGUUUCUAAGCCAACACUAUAAACCAAAAUACAUUUUCCAUGGUUUAGCACUAGAUGUAAAAAUAUUAGAUGUAAAAAAAAAUUUUUUUAAUUACUUUUGUAAAAUGGCACCUAGGGACACAUCAUAAUGGUAGCUAUGGUAAUUGUACUGGUGGAGAGAGUUAAAAAGGAACUCAUUAUGGAGAGUAGAACACACGAGUCAAAGGGCCACAGGCUGAGGGGACUGUCAGUGGGUGGCUACUCAGGAAGGACUUCGUGGGAGAGCUGGCCCUUGAACAAAGUGUCAUAUUUGGGUUGGUGGAGAGGAGACGACAACACCCAGACGUUGGCACAUGGAGAUAAGAAAAGCCAGGCUUUGGGAAAAAGGAUCUCUUCCACUUCUAGCGAGGACCUAUAUUAAGGAACUCAGAAAUGCUGACAAAGAUUUUAAACAAAGAUUUUCUUCUCAGUGUUAUUCACAUAAUAAAAACAAGAAACAAUGUAUA